rnacentral:rRNA from 1 species
GAUCAUGGCUCAGGAUGAACGCUGCGGCGUGCUUAACACAUGCAAGUCGAACGAAGCACUCAUGACAGAUUCUUCGGAUGAUGGAUUGAUUGACUGAGUGGCGGACGGGUGAGUAACGCGUGGGUAACCUGCCUCGUACAGGGGGAUAACAGCUGAAACGGCUGCUAAUACCGCAUAAGCGCACACUACCGGCAUGGUAGAGUGUGAAAAGUUUUUUCGGUACGAGAUGGACCCGCGUCUGAUUAGCUGGUUGGUGAGGUAACGGCUCACCAAGGCGACGAUCAGUAGCCGACCUGANAGGGUGAUCGGCCACAUUGGGACUGAGACACGGCCCAAACUCCUACGGGAGGCAGCAGUGGGGGAAUAUUGGGCAAUGGGGGAAACCCUGACCCAGCAACGCCGCGUGGAGGAAGAAGGUUUUCGGAUCGUAAACUCCUGUCCUCAGGGAAGAGCAGAAGACGGUACCUGAGGAGGAAGCCCCGGCUAACUACGUG